rnacentral:rRNA from 1 species
UACGUAGGGUGCGAGCGUUAAUCGGAAUUACUGGGCGUAAAGCGUGCGCAGGCGGUUUUGUAAGACAGAUGUGAAAUCCCCGGGCUUAACCUGGGAACUGCAUUUGUGACUGCAAGACUAGAGUGCGGCAGAGGGGGGUAGAAUUCCACGUGUAGCAGUGAAAUGCGUAGAUAUGUGGAGGAAUACCGAUGGCGAAGGCGGCCACCUGGACAGUAACUGACGCUGAGGCGCGAAAGCGUGGGUAGCAAACAGG